GAUGAACGCUGGCUACAGGCUUAACACAUGCAAGUCGAGGGGAAACGCCGGGGAAGCUUGCUUCCCCGGGCGUCGACCGGCGCACGGGUGAGUAACGCGUAUCCAACCUGCCUCUGACUGAGGGAUAACCCGUCGAAAGUCGGCCUAAUACCUCAUGGCAUCGUCUGCGGGCAUCCAACGACGAUUAAAGAUUUCAUCGGUCAGGGAUGGGGAUGCGUCUGAUUAGCUUGUUGGCGGGGUAACGGCCCACCAAGGCUACGAUCAGUAGGGGUUCUGAGAGGAAGGUCCCCCACAUUGGAACUGAGACACGGUCCAAACUCCUACGGGAGGCAGCAGUGAGGAAUAUUGGUCAAUGGGCGGGAGCCUGAACCAGCCAAGUAGCGUGCAGGAUGACGGCCCUAUGGGUUGUAAACUGCUUUUAUGCGGGGAUAAAGUGAGGGACGUGUCCUUCAUUGCAGGUACCGCAUGAAUAAGGACCGGCUAACUCCGUG
rnacentral:rRNA from 1 species